CUUCUCUCCAUCAAACCCAAAGUUUAUAAACAAGAUGCAGCAGUACUUCUACAUUUGAUCCUUAAAAAGACUCCUGGAUCCUCUGAGCUUUUUAAGGGCACUAUAAAGAUGACAAGAACAUGGAGGUCAUGCAGAGACAAACCAGAACAAAUCUCUGAGGAUUUCCUCUCAUUGAUAGUCUCUAUUCAAAACUCUCAGGAUGUGGAAGAUGCUUUACAGGCAUAUGCUUGUGGAAAUAAGACUGUGGGAUCAGUGUACUGUGAUCACUGUAGGAAAAUGAUAGUCAUUGAAACUAAAACAGAGAUGAAUGAGUUUCCAGAACACUUAAUUGUUGAGUUGAAGAGAUCUGAUUCAUACAGCACAAAUAGGUUAAGCUUCAGUAAAAAUGAAGUGAUCAUUCGUCCUCAUAUCAAGGUUUCCUCCCACAAGUAUGAGCUUUAUGUCGUAGUAAACUAUGAUUGUGGACGUUAUAAUGCAGACAUCAAAUGUGAAGAUGAAAUCUGGCGUCGAUUUAAUGACUCCAAUGAAUUCGAGAGUUCUUUGAACAGUGACUUCAGAAAGGACUCUAAACUCAGGAGUUCAGAUGCCUGUUUACUCGUGUACAGACGCAGAGAGCAAA